rnacentral:rRNA from 1 species
GAUGAACGCUAGCGAGACGCUUAACACAUGCAAGUCGAAUGUAGAUUUAUCUACAUGGCAGACGGGUGAGUAACACGUGCUUAAUUUACCCCGGAGUGGGGGACAACAUCGGAAACGGUGAUAAUCCCGCAUACGUUCCACAAAAUGAAAAUAUGUGGAAGAAAGAUUUAUCGCUCUGGGAGGAGGGCGCGGCUGACUAGUUAGUUGGUGAGGUAAUGGCCUACCAAGGGUACGAUGGGUAGCUGGUCUGAGAGGAUGAUCAGCCACACUGGAACUGAGACACGGUUCAGACUCCUACGGGAGGCAGCAGUGGGGAAUAUUGGACAAUGGGCGAAAGCCUGAUCCAGCCACGCCGCGUGGGUGAUGAAGGCCUUCGGGUUGUAAAGCCCUGUCGGGAGGGACGAAUCAAUGACGGUACCUCCCAAGAAAGCACCGGCUAACUCCGUG